rnacentral:misc_RNA from 1 species
UACGAAGGGGGCUAGCGUUGUUCGGAAUCACUGGGCGUAAAGCGCACGUCGGCGGACUUUUACGGCAGGGGUGAAAUCCCGGGGCUCAACCCCGGAACUGCCUUUGAUACUGGAAGUCUUGAGUCCGAGAGAGGUGAGGGGAAUUCCGAGUGUAGAGGUGAAAUUCGUAGAUAUUCGGAAGAACACCAGUGGCGAAGGCGGCUCACUGGCUCGGUACUGACUCUGAGGUGCGAAAGCGUGGGGAGCAAACAGG